AUCUAGGAGCAGGAUGUACGGCUACAGCUCCACAAGCGAUCGGUGUGGGAAUGAAGGUUGCUGGACUAGGUCUUGGUAGCGUGCAUGGUGUUGUGUCUGGUGAUAAUUUUGAUGACGCAUAUCAAGACGUCAGUGUUUAUGUCCGUUCAAAACCUGACCCAUGACCUCAAUAAAGGUCAUCGCUAUCACAUAUAUAACAAUCGAUGGCGUAUAUAAUAAACAAAUAAUCGAUGACGUAUAUAUUAAUCAAUAACGAAAAUAAUCACCAAUGAUCAAUCGAUGACGCGCAUAAUGAUCGAUAAUUGUAGUCGAACACGUUGCUAAUUAAUCACAUAUAGAAAAUUGAACGUAAUUUCAC